CACACCGCCCGUCACAUCAUGGGAGUUGGUUUUUACCCGAAGUCACUGACUCAACCGCAAGGGGAGAGGUGCCUAAGGUGAGGCCGAUGACUGGGAUG
rnacentral:rRNA from 1 species